rnacentral:rRNA from 1 species
UACGGAGGGUGCGAGCGUUGUCCGGAAUCACUGGGCGGAAAGGGCGCGUAGGUGGUGGCUUAAGCGUGCGGUGAAAGCUCGGGGCUCAACUCCGAGUCGGCCGUGCGAACUGGGCUCACUGGAGCAUAGUAGAGGCAGGUGGAAUUCCGGGUGUAGCGGUGGAAUGCGUAGAGAUCCGGAAGAACACCGGUGGCGAAGGCGGCCUGCUGGGCUAUGGCUGACACUGAGGCGCGACAGCGUGGGGAGCAAACAGG